rnacentral:lncRNA from 1 species
UGAGGUAACUGAGGCACAGAGAAGUUAAGUGACUUGCCCACAGUCACACGGCUGACAAGUGGCAGAUCUGGGAUUAGAACCCAUGACCUUCUGACUCCCAGGCCCAUAUCUAUUCACUAGGUCACAUUGCGUCCCUUCCAGAAAGCCAGAAGGGCUUGAGGUGAACACGGGACCAAGGCCAGAGGGGAAUCGGUCAAUCAUCAGUGUUGUUUGUUGAGCACUUUGUACAGAACACUAGGACCGGGGGAGGGCAGAGGCGGGACCCAGGGGCAGAUGGGACCAUUUAGGGACAAGGAUAGUCAUUCAAUCGUUUUUAUUGAGAACUUAUUGUGUGCAGAGCACUAUACUAAGCGCUUGGAAAGUACAAUUCGCAACAAAAAGAGACAAUCCUACCCAACAACGGGCUCAAAGUCUAGGAACGGGCUCACAGUCUAGAAGUCCCAACUCUCCCUGCCUUCCCCAGGGGAAAAGGCGAGCGGGAGGAAGUCUUUGUCUCAUGUCUGGUGUCUCAUAACUUCCUCUUCCUUUGCGGCUCACUCCCUUCCCUGAUCUGGUCCGCUGGAGGAUGGAGCCUGGGGGGUCCGAGGGAAUCGGGCCUCCCUUUUGCUCUCCUCCCCUCCCACGCAAACCCUUCACACAUUCCCCAUCCAGGCUCAGCCCUAUCAGCUCUCCCUUUCCCUUCCAGAGGAAACAUCUGGUUCACCUUACCGGGAGGGAGACCGUUUGGAGAAACGUUUUGGCACAUACGUUGACAUCCACUAAGGCAAACGCUGAGACGGACUCGGGCCCCGACCCAGCAGUUCUCCCGCGGCUCGGCGGAGAGAAACGAAACGCGCAGACCUCCGGGACCUGUUUGACCAAAGGCAGAGUAGCAGCGGUCUCCAGUGCCCCUACAAGAGCAGGGCCUCGGGACUGGUGUCUAAUAUCGGGCCACGGCUUGAGGAACCAAUCUUAGCUUCCAAGACGGCUACCCCUUGACCUGAAGAGAGACACCCUGACCCAUGGGGUGAGAGAGACCCAUGAUGCUGGGGGCAUCGGGAAAGAGAGUGGCCGGCGUCACAUCUGAUAUACCUUGAAUUUGAGAGUGCUUUCGUUUCCCAAAGCACUUUUGCAUCAUCAUCUCCUUGAAAGGAGCAGGGUGACAGGGUGUGUGGGAAAGGGAUGGAGACUCACAAUAAAAUCCUCCAUACUGUCAGAGGGGAAAAGUCCCAAUGAGUGUCACUAUCACGGGAGACCUUUCCUGGGUUCGGGGCUGGAGCGGGCCUCGCUCAGCCCACGUCUCUGACAAGAUCCGAGGGCUUCCGAGCAGGGCUGAAAAGACCCCAGAUGACGCCUCUCGGGCCUGUUGGUUCUUUAAGGCCUUCCGGCUCCUUCCAAGUCCCAUCCUUCUUACUGCCCACCCAAAUCUCCAUCCCCUCCUCACCUCAACACUCGAAAUGCAAGGUUGGCACCAGCGGUCACCCCCGCCCCCACUUCCCACCCAAGGUCUCUGCCCAAGCUGGCAGCCAUUCCAGUUGACAGGAUG